CUUUUUUUUCAACCUGGCCCACGUGACGUACAGACCCGCCACAAAUACAAAGUUCCUCUGUCUACUCGGACAGAAUCUUCUUUGUAUUUGUACGGCGUACCAAUAGCUACAACAGGAUCACAACAACAACCUACAUUUACCAAUCCACAAUCAAUUCAUGCCAUGUAUUUCCAUUCAGCUAGCGAUCCUUAGAGAUGAUGCAUGCCUCUAAACACUUCUUAGGCGCUAGAUGAUGCAAUGCAUAAUACAACAAGCAUCUUAUUUGAAAGUGCUCCCCACUCGGAAGCUUUGUUUCUAAACUCUACUCAAUCAUCGAUAAAAACAUUUGAAAAUCCUUUUAAAACUGUUUCCCACUCGAAAACUCUAUUUUGAAAACCGACUAUCUCGAGGGGUAGAAAACCACGAUGCAUAAAUGUACAAAUCCAAAACCAAGAACCCAUAAAACUAAUAUCACAGAUCCACAAUCUCUAAUCACGUGCAUAAUGGGAAUUAUCAACUCUAACAAUUCACGAAUAUUCAAACAUCAAAUAUGAUCAUCUAACUGAACCAUUUAUUAUAAAUUACUAAAUACAGAAAUAAAAUAUAACCCGGGUGAUGGUCG
rnacentral:lncRNA from 1 species